GACGAACGCUGGCGGCGUGCCUAAUACAUGCAAGUUGAGCGCUGAAGGUUGGUACUUGUACCAACUGGAUGAGCAGCGAACGGGUGAGUAACGCGUGGGGAAUCUGCCUUUGAGCGGGGGACAACAUUUGGAAACGAAUGCUAAUACCGCAUAAAAACUUUAAACACAAGUUUUAAGUUUGAAAGAUGCAAUUGCAUCACUCAAAGAUGAUCCCGCGUUGUAUUAGCUAGUUGGUGAGGUAAAGGCUCACCAAGGCGAUGAUACAUAGCCGACCUGAGAGGGUGAUCGGCCACAUUGGGACUGAGACACGGCCCAAACUCCUACGGGAGGCAGCAGUAGGGAAUCUUCGGCAAUGGACGAAAGUCUGACCGAGCAACGCCGCGUGAGUGAAGAAGGUUGUCGGAUCGUAAAACUCGGUUGGUAGAGAAGAACGUUGGUGAGAGUGGAAAGCUCAUCAAGUGACGGUAACUACCCAGAAAGGGACGGCUAACUACGUG
rnacentral:rRNA from 1 species